rnacentral:rRNA from 1 species
UACGUAGGGGGCGAGCGUUGUCCGGAUUUAUUGGGCGUAAAGAGCUCGUAGGCGGUUUGGUAAGUUGGAUGUGAAAUCUCCAGGCUCAACUUGGAGGGGUCAUUCGAUACUGCCAUGACUAGAGUUCGGUAGGGGAGUGUGGAAUUCCUGGUGGAGCGGUGAAAUGCGCAGAUAUCAGGAGGAACACCGGUGGCGAAGGCGGGUCUCUGGGCCGAUACUGACGCUGAGGAGCGAAAGCAUGGGUAGCGAACAGG